GAUUGGAGCGGCCGAUGUCGGAUUAGGUAGUUGGUGGGGUAAAGGCCUACCAAGCCGACGAUCUGUAGCUGGUCUGAGAGGACGACCAGCCACACUGGAACUGAGACACGGUCCAGACUCCUACGGGAGGCAGCAGUGGGGAAUUUUGGACAAUGGGGGCAACCCUGAUCCAGCCAUUCCGCGUGAGGGAAGAAGGCCUUCGGGUUGUAAACCUCUUUCGGCAGGAACGAAACCGU
rnacentral:rRNA from 1 species